rnacentral:rRNA from 1 species
UACGUAGGUGGCAAGCGUUAUCCGGAUUUAUUGGGUUUAAAGGGUGCGCAGGCGGAUUGAUAAGUUAGAGGUGAAAUGUCCGAGCUCAACUCGGGAACUGCCUCUAAUACUGUUGAUCUAGAGAGUAGAUGCGGUAGGCGGAAUGUAUGGUGUAGCGGUGAAAUGCUUAGAGAUCAUACAGAACACCGAUUGCGAAGGCAGCUUACCAAUCUAUAUCUGACGUUGAGGCACGAAAGCGUGGGGAGCAAACAGG